rnacentral:rRNA from 1 species
UGCCGAAGGGUGACGAAGCGACGCCGCGUGGGUGAGGAAGGCCUUCGGGUUGUAAAGCCCUGUCAGGAGUUAAGAAAUGUAGACUCGCUAAUAUCGGGUCUAUUUGACAAAGGCUCCAAAGGAAGCCACGGCUAACUCUGUGCCAGCAGCCGCGGUAAUACAGAGGUGGCAAGCGUUGUUCGGAAUUAUUGGGCGUGAAGAGCACGUAGGUGGAUUUGUAAGUCAGACGUGAAAGCCUUCUGUUCAACGGAAGAAUUGCAUCUGAAACUACAAACCUUGAGUGUAGGAGGGGAGAAUGGAACUUCUGGUGGAGCGGUGAAGUGCGUAGAUAUCAGAAGGAACGCCGGCGGCGAAAGCGAUUCUCUGGCCUAUUACUGACACUCAGUGUGCGAAAGCUAGGGGAGCAAACGGGAUUAGAUACCCCGGUAGUCCUAGCCGUAAACGAUGGGCACUAAGUAGAGGGG